rnacentral:lncRNA from 1 species
CUUCACUAAAGCCCACCCAACACAGAUGACAGCUUACAAAAAUAGGAACCUGGAGCCCACUGUACAGUCGGCAGGCAACUCAACAGGUUGGAGAGUCCUUUCCAAGUGACUCUGGUCCUAAGCAUCUUCCAGGCAGCUCAGCUGGUCUCAGAGCUGAGACCAGCAUCUCUGCAGCUCUUACUGUUUUGUCUGGGAGGAAAGGGUCCUAGUGAAUCUCAUUCAUUUCAGGGACUUCCUGAAGCUGUCUUGAAUUGUUUACUUCCUGCUUAAGGAGCUUCUCGUGUAGGAUAGAAUUUUCUACCUCGGAGUAAAUGCUUACACAACACAAGGAAAUAGUGGAACUGAAUGAGAGAAACCAGAGGAGAUAGAUGUGCUCAAGGGCUGUCAAGGAAGAGCAAGUUUUCCAGCUGGAAGAAAUGGUACUCUGACUGCUCUCCAGCCUAUAGAAAGCUCACUUUUUUUUUUUUUUCAAAAUGGUAGGAACUGCAGCAAGACCAAGAAGGGAGAAAUGGAGCUAGCAAGUAGAGUGCUCUGGGGAACAAGUCAUGAGGGGAGAUGGCAAAGAGACUUGUAACAUGAUAGCAAGCUGUCUGUGUUCUGUGCUGGUAGCAAUGGCACAGCUUUGAAGACAGUGGACAAUGAAUUGGGAGUAGGGGAGAUGACGUUGGGCUAGAGGCUCGCUACACUAACAUAGGUGGGGCCUGUAAUGGUUUGACCCAAAUGAAGAUGAAGUUGGGGUAGUCAUUAGAAGGUCACUACACUAAUUAACAUAGGUGAGACAUAUAAUGGUUUGACCCAAAUGAGGACUGAGAAGAGUUGACUGAUGGCUGGUAUUUCUAUGUAUGGCUUUAAAAGACGAGGGGAUUUGUGUGUUAUACUUGUAA